UACAGAGGUCUCAAGCGUUGUUCGGAUUCAUUGGGCGUAAAGGGUGCGUAGGCGGCGCGGUAAGUCGGGUGUGAAAUCUUGGAGCUUAACUCCGAAACUGCAUUCGAUACUGCCGUGCUUGUGGACUGGAGAGGAGACUGGAAUUUACGGUGUAGCGGUGAAAUGCGUAGAUAUCGUAAGGAAGACCAGUGGCGAAGGCGGGUCUCUGGACAGUUCCUGACGCUGAGGCACGAAGGCCAGGGGAGCAAACGGG
rnacentral:rRNA from 1 species